GAAAUGCGAUAAGUAGUGUGAAUUGCAGAAUUCAGUGAAUCAUCGAAUCUUUGAACGCACAUUGCGCCCGCCAGUAUUCUGGCGGGCAUGCCUGUUCGAGCGUCAUUUCAACCCUCAAGCCCCCGGGUUUGGUGUUGGGGAUCGGGCUGCGGUUCUACCGCGUCCCGGCCCCGAAAUCUAGUGGCGGUCUCGCUGCAGCCUCCAUUGCGUAGUAGCUAACACCUCGCAACUGGAACGCGGCGCGGCCAAGCCGUUAAACCCCCAACUUCUGAAUGUUGACCUCGGAUCAGGUAGGAAUACCCGCUGAACUUAAGC
rnacentral:misc_RNA from 1 species